CAUAAUAGAGCCUACCGGUCACUCUCCACCUGCCCAUCGUACCCUUGUGUUGUUCCCUGUCAGUCGAGUCUCUUCAUGGCCGCCGGCGGAAGAUCAACGAAACUUCUUUUCUAACAUCUGUCCUGAAAAUCUCUGAUCGAAUAACAAUAAAGUCA
rnacentral:misc_RNA from 1 species